CCCAUNAGUCUGGGAUACCACUUGGAAACAGGUGCUAAUACCGGAUAAGAAAGCGGAUCGCAUGAUCAGCUUUUAAAAGGCGGCGUAAGCUGUCGCUAUGGGAUGGCCCCGCGGUGCAUUAGCUAGUUGGUAAGGUAAAGGCUUACCAAGGCGAUGAUGCAUAGCCGAGUUGAGAGACUGAUCGGCCACAUUGGGACUGAGACACGGCCCAAACUCCUACGGGAGGCAGCAGCU
rnacentral:rRNA from 1 species